UGGCUCAGGAUGAACGCUGGCGGCGUGCUUAACACAUGCAAGUCGAACGGGAUCCCUGGCGCUUGCGCCGGGGUGAGAGUGGCGAACGGGUGAGUAAUGCGUGACCAACCUGCCCCAUGCACCGGAAUAGCUCCUGGAAACGGGUGGUAAUGCCGGAUGCUCCAGAUGACCGCAUGGGAUUCUGGGAAAGCUUUUGCGGCAUGGGAUGGGGUCGCGUCCUAUCAGCUUGUUGGUGGGGUGAUGGCCCACCAAGGCUUCGACGGGUAGCCGGCCUGAGAGGGCGACCGGCCACAUUGGGACUGAGAUACGGCCCAGACUCCUACGGGAGGCAGCAGUGGGGAAUAUUGCGCAAUGGGCGAAAGCCUGACGCAGCGACGCCGCGUGCGGGAUGGAGGCCUUCGGGUUGUAAACCGCUUUUAUCGGGGAGCAAGCGAGAGUGAGUGUACCCGUUGAAUAAGCACCGGCUAACUACGUGCCAGCAGCCGC
rnacentral:rRNA from 2 species